rnacentral:lncRNA from 1 species
AAAAUAUUUACAAGACAAAGAUAAGUCAUCGAUGCAAAUGAAUUAAUACUUUUACAACUUGAAAAAAAAUGUAUAACAUUUUACAUCAUGCUUGAAUCAAGGGGGAAGAAAGAGUAUGCUGUAGAGUGUGAAUUCAGGUGACUCCUGGCAACUGCAUGUUUAAUUCAAAUAGAGCAAGAGAGAAAGUGCUGCCUCUUUUCUGGACAGGGAACGCUGCCUGAAUGAGAAGAGUUUUAGCUGACAUUUCAGAGGUGGAACCUGGACUGUCAGAAGCAUGUGUUGGUAAGGACAGAGAGGGAGAAGGGGUGCUAUUCUGGGGACAAAUUAGUUUAGGAGAAGGCUCAGAAGAGAGAUUCACCAAUUGGGUAAACCUUGAGUCUAUCAAAAGAGGAAGGAUGAGGAAUAAUGGGAGAAUGUCAGAAAGACAAAGGAAACUCUUGUUCCUAAUCUGUGCGUAGAACACUGGAAGGAUGAGCACAGAGGAAGCCAUCGUUGCUUCAUUCAUUCCUCCACUCUUCAUUCAAUAAACGUCUAGUGGGAGAGCAUCCAGGGAUGAAUGAUACUUAGUUGGCACCUAUAAGGACCUUGCAGGCUCGUGGGCCAGCCAGAAAAAUAAUGAGAGACAUUUUCAUUAUGGUGGGACAAGGGCUAUGAUGAAUAGUUGAGGGGCACAUGGGUGAAGUAUAAAUGCAGACAGAACAUGUUAGGGAAAGCUUUCCAGAUAACAUGGCACUUCCCAGGGCUUGAAGAGAAACAAUGAACAGAGAUCUGAACCCCAGGGGGAGCUACCCGGCAAGUCAAGUUCCCACGAAGAAGCCCGAGACUGAAAUGAUCUUUGCUCAUGCACCCCAAAUGGAAGUAAAUGUAUCAGAUGUUGAGUCUUUGCCCUCUCCACCUUGAACACCCCAUCCACACAACACAACAUGCCAGGCUUUGGAAUGAAACCAGCAGUGUACACUCAGCCAAAGUGACUGAUGUUGCUUUCCGGGUAUUUGUAGCUGAAGGUAUGCCUACUCCUUUCCCAUACAAACAGAGGAACUCAGCUGGCAUCAAGACUCAGCCUCAAAGCAUCCAGCCAAGCAGAAGGCCUACCUGGCUGCCGCACACGCCCUGCAAAAUGGCACACAGGUGCUAUCAUCCAGCUAGCAGCUUCAGCCGUGUAACCAACUCCAGAGUGUUGACAGCUGCAGUAAAACUCACUUGGAGUUCAACAUAAUUAAGCAAAAUGAUUAGUACCGAAGAGAAGCUGGCAACAAAGAACUUUGGUUUCUGAGGCAAAAUUAUAGGAUCCCAGGAUAUUAGAGCUGGAAGGAGGUCUUACAGAUCACAGCCAGCCACCUCCAUUUCACAGAUGAGAAAGUCAGGCCAAGAGAGGUGAACUGAAGGGCUGAGGAUGACAGAAGAAGCUACACAGUAUCAGGGUAAGAGUGAGGACUCUGAGAUCGGUCACACUGGGGUUUGCAACCCAAGUUUGGAACUCACUGACUUCAGGACAGCACCUUGGUCUCUCUAAGCCUCAGUUUCCUUUCUGAAGUUUGUGUUGCUAUGAGGAUUAAUUGAAGGUUAUUGCAGGGCCUGUUGCCCAUGGCCAGUAUAUAACGUUACUAUGGAGAGUCAGAACACGGGGUCCAUGGCCUUGCUUCACCAUGUAUGAGCUGUGUUUCCCUGGGUCUCAGUUCUUGUACUUAUGAAAUGGAAAUAAAGAUGCUAGUACCUGCCCUAAUUAUUUGCCAGGAUAGGUGGAAGGCUUGUGGGUGAGAGCUGUGUACACUUCUAAGCAAGUUUUUGUUAUUACUAUUCCCAUUAUGGCAAAAACACGUUCUGGGUCUUUCUACUGGUAAGUGGCAGGGCCAAGACAGGACACAUGCAGUGAAGAAAAAAGACCAGGGACAUUUUCUCCCAGGCAACUGAUGGACUGCAAUGUUUGGACUCACCCAGUAUGGUUCAGAAGGUCUGAUGGGUCAGUGAUGAGCUCAGGCGGGAGAAGAAAUCUGCAGUGUAUUCAAUGCCAAAGGGUCUCAUUUCUGGGUGGGAGGGACAGCGGGGAUGGGGUGAAGCAGGGGUGGGCAGCAGGAAGGAGAGGAAAGAACCUGGGGAAAUCAAACCACCUGCCUGGGUUUCACUCUGAGUUUUCAGAUUCAUUAAAAAGAAAGAAAAUACACACACACACACACACACACACACACACACAAAAGCACAAAGCAAAACCUCAGUUUGGUCAAUCCACAAAAAAUGAAAGACAGGGCUGCAAAAAGUGCUGAGAAUGGGAUUGCUCGACUUUUCACAGCUUCAGCUGGCUUACAAUACCCUCAGCUUGGUGCUUCUCCCGAAUCCACAUCUCAAACGCUCUAAUUAGAUUGUGCAGCCGAAAGAAGGCCCGGUGCCCUUGGAAAUAAGUGAUUGCUUACUUGCCACAGGAAUGUUCUGUGCUUUCAUAGGCUUCAUCUUUUUUUUUUUUUUUCCUGGGGGCUUGGGAAUGAAUUGGGCAAUUUCUUAGGUGUCUGCUCCACAGAAAGACGUUGAGCUUACAUUUGGUUUCUCUUUUUACCUAGGUUCUUGCCUCUGCCUGAAAUACUCUUGGUCUGGCUUCCUUACUUGCUCACCUGCUCACCUCUAAGACCCAGUUCAGGGCUCCCACAGGAUCCAUCCACCUAAAUCCUUACCAGGGGUGCCUGUGGAAUGGUUACUGUUUACCUGUCUUCCCACCAAGAGAUGAUCCCCUAAGGACAAUGGCUUUGUCGUCUUCAUCUGUUCACCUUUGUGUUCCCUAUAUUUGGCAUGGCGCUUUGCACCUGGGGCCUUGCAACUCAAAGUGUGGCUUAUGGCUUAGCAGCAUCAGCCUCACCUGGGACCUUGGGACCUUGGGACCUUGGGACCUUGUGAGAAGUACAGAGAUCUCGAGCUCCACCCCAGACUUACUGAAUCUGAAUUUUCUUUGCCUUUUUUUUUUUUUUUUUUGAGACAGGGUCUUGCUCUGUCAUCCAGGCUGGAGUGCAGUGGCACAAUCAUAGCUCAUUGCAGUCUCUUCGUGGGACUGCCCAAGAGAUUGUCCCAUCUCAGCCUGGUGAGACUAUAGCAACACGACACCCGGGUUUUUUUUCUUUCUUUCUUUCUUUCUUUCUUUUUUUUUUUUUUUUAGAGAUGGGGGUCUCACUUUCUUGUCUAGGCUGUAAAUUUUCAGUUUAACAAGUUUCUUAUGUGAUUUGUGGCCACACUGAAGACUCACCAGAACAGGGUGGGGUGGGGAAUACUUAAUCAAUAUUUGUGGAAUUUACCCGAUGAAAUCCAGUUAUUCCUGCUGAAUUUCUCUCUCCUCCAGGAGGACAUAGCAAACGAGCUGAGGAAGGUGAAUGCUGCAACCCUCUCUCCUCAGCCCUGCAGCCGAUCCCUGACAUAAACUCCUUGAAGUUCAGUGGCCUCUUUCCAUGCACCUACCACCUACACCUGCUGCUUUCAAAGAAACCACAACCUGGACCGGGAACAGAACUGGACGUGCCAAAAUGCCUGAGGACACUUCAUCGAAUGUGGCUGGCUUGAUGGGAAGCUGGCAUGACUAGAAAUGUCAGGAGUCUUCCCUCUCGAGGUUUCAAGCUUUGUGUUUCUGACUCAAUGGUCCGGAUUGAGAUCAGAUGAGUCAAGUUCAGAUGACCAUGCAAACCUUUAGAUGGGGCCUAAAACCAAAUCUGUGUUCUCAAACCAUUCCAAAUGUGUUCAUCACCAGUUAUAGUUUACCAUACCACCCAAUCCAAGAGAGUGCAGUCAUUUCUCUAAUAGCAGAUGCAUAAUUUUCUCAUCAAUGGAAAAUCUAAGUGUACAUCACAAGGUCAAAAGUUGCGAGAAACUUGACACCUUCGAGAUUGUGCCAAACCUCAAGCUUGCAGUAAUAAGGGCUCUCAGUCAAACCUUCUGAGAAUGAAGUGUAUUUGACCCAACGUUUAGCAUAAGCAAGCACGUACUAUGCUGUCCCUUUACGAUGGCUGAAUUCUUGGCUAGACUAUGAAGGAACACAACAGCCUAAGCAAAGCCUAUAUAAAACAUCAACCCACGGUCAUGGCCCAAUGAGAUAUAGAGAUAUUGUUGAAAUCCAAGAAAGUGAAACAAAAAUCCUGAGCCUUAUUCGCUAAAUUCCCUUAAUUGUGACACACUAAACAAGUAACAGUCAUUAGUUCUAGUAUCAUGUAAGUACAACAUUCUAAAAUGGCUACUACAGAUAUCAAAAGCAUUAAUUCAAUGUACACUUACUGGGCACCCACUGUGUGCUAGGGGAAGUGUGCUAGGGUAAUGGAGAUUCACCAUGGAACUUCCUUUUAUUUUCCCUCACUGCCUUUCUCUUUUCAAAUAUUUAAUGACCAUCCACUGCGUCCCAGAAGUUGCCAGGCCUGGGGCAGGAGAUUCUCUCUCCUUAAGGCCCCUGUGUCCCAGCUGGGAGUGACAGAUACAUCAACCAAUAAAUAACAUGGUGGGAAAAGUCCAUUAAUAAUGAUGUGCACACAGUCCUUAGGGGUAUCCUUGACCAUCAUGCUCCAGCUUAGAUCUCUGAAAACGACCUUUUGGCUGUUACUGAGGAUGUCAGCAAUAAAACUGGAUCCUAAAGAAACCAUUCAUGAUGAUAUAUCCUUAUUGGAAUUGACAAUGCAUGAGGAAAUCACACAUGUAGGUCCCAACUGAUAAAGCAUUAUCCAUCCAUUAAGUUAGACAGGAGAGGUGGCUUAAUGUCAAUAACAUAUCUCAGAAAAAAAAUGUGCUUAUCUCUUGAUUUUUGUAGAUCAAAUCCCACUAGAGGAAUUGGGUAUGUUUGUAGACCCAACCACUUACAUUGAUAAGGCAGUUUUCAAAGUGCUUUUAUAAGUAUUUGCUCAUUGGGUCCUCAGAGUAACCCUGGAGGUAGCUGGUGGCUCACCAGUGUGGCAUGGUUGUGAUGAGGACUACUGUACCAUGCUCUUCGUCAAGCAAAAGGCAGACAGUCACUCUCCACCUUUUUAUAGAUAGAUUGACUGAUUGAUUGAGAUGAGUCUCACUAUGUUGCCCAGGCUGGUCUUCAACUCCUGGGCUCAAGUGAUCUCUCUGCCUUAGCCUCACGAGUACCUGAGACUACAGGUGCGAGCCACCAUGCCUGGCUCAUUCUUCAUUUUAAAAGCAUAAUAAAUACUCUUUAAAAAUUCCAAGGAACGAGAUGUCCCUCUAAACUGCCUUCUUCCUCUUCGUGUAAUUUGACAUUAAGUGUCCUGGUGUGUUAAGCUUGCCUCUAUUUAAAUAGCCCUGCAGAAGGCCAUACCACUCAGGCUUAAGGGGACAGAAGGUACUCUGUCCUGGAAGCAUCAUGACACUAAAAGUUCAUUAAGAUCUCUAUCCCAGCUAUUACACUCCUAAGGUCACUGGGCUCUCCUCAAUAGGUAUAUUAAGCAGCAGCCUCAAAAACAGUCCUCAGUUUUAGGAUGCAAGGAAAAUAAUUCACGAAGGUGAUCAACUUUAAGUUCAAAUUAUAUUCACUCUAGAUUUUAUCAUGGCUCCUGCCCAUGAAUAUACCAUCUUCCAUUCACAUCUAAGGCAACUAGUUCAGGGUGAGAGGAAAUGGGCACUUUAUGAACAUCUGCUAUAUACAAAUCUUUACCCACCUUUUUCCUCCUUUAGAAUUUUUCUAACUCAGUGGACUCUCCAUGAUUCAAAGGAAGUCCUUGAUUUUCACUCCUUCUCACAAGGUUACCUCUUACAGGUAACAGUACCCUCUUGCCUGCAAAGGUCAGGACAAGAGGAUAGAGGAAAAAGCUAAGGGAAUCUCAGAACCGUUUAUGUGCUAAAAUUCUUAGCUUAGAUGUAUAGAUGGACAAGGAAAAGUGGGCAAGAGAAAGUAAAACUAAAAUUUAGGCAAGGAAGCCAAUUACCCAGUAAAGAGGGAGGCUAGCAUCCUAGCAUGAGAGUAUCAGACCAGACUAUCUCAGACCCUUAGUCUUGUGGAUCAAGGCACUGAUGGAGGGCACUGUAGAAAAGUGUUGAAAGCAAUAUGGCAGACACUACUGGAUUGGCAAAUUGCAUCCGCUCCUACCAAAGGAUCACACUCCCAGAAGCUAAAGGAAAGAAAUGGAGAGUGGGAGGUGUAUUUUGGGUAAAAAAGAAAAAGAAGCGCUUGUAUGAAUUUUCAUGUUAUUUCAGUGAAGUCAUAAUAGAACAGCUUCCCUUCCCAGAGCUUGCCCAGAACAGCUAUUUAAAGGGGGAGUGAGAACUGUACAAGCUUUGACUAGAUUCUGAGGUCGGAGCCUUAAUUAGAGUCACAAUUGUAUUGUACAUCUAUUUGUGUAACUGUUCAAUUAGGAGUGUAAUAGCUGGGACAGAGAUCUUAAUGAGCUUUUAGUGUCAUGAUGCUUCAAGACUGCCCUUUUUUGGUUGUUGUUAUUAUUAAGCUUUCAUAUAGGGGCUUUUCCUCUCUGCUGUCCAACUGUGUGGUUCUCCCUUCAGGCAGGUUGAAAUGCAAGACUGAGUCUUGCUAUAUCUAAACUUGGGCAUUAAAAAUGGGCUGUCUUCCCCUUAUCAUCUUCAUGAUUAGCUUGUAAACAGUUUCUUGGGUCUAUCCUGUUAUCAACAAAAACUCUAGGAAUACUGGAAUAUUAGGGCCAAUCUUUUACAGUUGAGAUAAUUGAGAUUCAGAAAGAUGAAGUGAACUACUGGACACAGCACAGAUAGUGACAGAGCCUGGGCUUGCACAUUAGUGUUCUGACCUUUCAGGAACAAAACAAUCACAAUGCCUGUACAUGUCAUAAUAAGGUCAUUCUAACACUACAAUGUACACCAGUACCCAAACUGGAUCAUUCAUUUAAAAAAAAUUCAUUCCCGAAGACAUAGUUUUUGUGGUCUUAAUAGCUAAAUUGUCCUGGGACACUCCAAAUGUGAUUUAUUUGUCCCAAGGCCAGUAGAAGUUUCCAUGUAGGUGAAAAUGGAUGUUUGGCUAGUUGAAGAGAAACGGAAAUGAGUUCUGCAAGCUGACUUACCCAGUGGAAAUGGGGAGACACAUUACACCUUAUAGAGAAGCAGUUUCUGAGAGUCAGAGCUGGCUGGAGAAGAACUGCAUGGUCCCUGUCACUGGAGAUAUUGGGGAAGACUUUUUAGAAGAAAGGACAUCUCAACACAAGGCUGAGAAGUAGUUCACCAAGGCAAGUAAAUGAAAAGCACACAUCAGGCUGAGCAUGUAUGAAAUCCAGAUGCAGACACAAGGACCUCUUAAGACCUAAGCUCCUUGGAUUCCAGACCUCCAGACCAAUGGUGGAUCUGCUCAUCAAGUCCCAACUCAGCCACUCAUCUGUCAGCUUGUGCAGGUUUUGGGACAGGAUCUGAAGACCUCCAUGACCUUUCUACUUCUUGGAGUCAUGAUUUCUAAAAUCUGGCUGGCCUUGGUCUUCUUGGCUCCCAAGGUCCUCUACUGCCCAAGUUCCUGUGUCACAAAAUCAACUGUUUCCAUGUGUUAGAAGCAUACACUUCAUCUCCACUAGCAGCAGCAAAGAAUGAUCACCUAUCUUUGUAGGGGAGCAGGGGUUUACUGCAAUAGAGAACCAGGGUAGUGGGGCCCACAGUGCUGAGUUUCAAUCUGUUGCUAGUUGCUAACCAGGUGGCCUUGGAGAAGUUUUUUUUUUCUUUUUUUAACCUUUCCAAACCUCAGUUUGUUCAUCAGUAACAUGAGAAUAAUUAUGGUACCCAUACAUCAUAGGACUGUUGGGUAGAGUAUAUGAGAUAAUAUAUUUAAGGCCUUUAACAGAGCCAGGCACACAAUCAAUGCUAGAAAUAUUAGCUGCUCGUGUUAGUGUUACUUAGAGAAGGGAAAGCAAAUAACUGUCAAAAGUCAAUAAAAUGAUACUCUAAACAUCUAAUUAAAUGCAACCUGAUAAUCAUAGAACUGUA